AAAUACAAAUAAAUAAAUGUAUAUGUGAGCAGCGUUAUUUCUCACGUGCUAUACAAAGAGUUGAAGGUUAAUUAGCAGCAUAACUAAGCAGUAAUGCUGCCAGUACCCUUCAGACAAAC